AGCACUGGGUUUGGUGUCGAACAGGUAGGUGGUAUCAGCAGAGGAUACAUCUAAGCCGGUGAGCAUAAGUACAUCGGCAUGUGUAGGGGAAACAGGGCCAUGGCCAAACAUGAAAGCAUUGAGUGUGUCUGACCAAAAGUAUGAGGCAGCUAUUAGUAGUGACUCAUUUCUCUCCAUAUCGGCAAGAGACAAUCUAAUGCACUGAUCUAAUUUCUGUUCACCCCAUUGGACCUCAUUUGAGUUACUGACUCUCAGGAACCAAUCCUUCCAUCCCUUGGUAGGACUGGGCCAGGAACGGAAAGCGUCUUUCCAUAGAUAUAUAGAAAAAUUCUCGGCUCUAAAGGGGAUUCUGUUUGACUCUGCAUUUAUAAGAUCGAUGGGAUCUAAAUUUCCUAGUGGGCCAAGGCAUUGAAGAUGAGGUUGAUCGGUAGGGAUUACGAUCUUGUCGGCUAAAUCCUAAAGAUUGUAAGGAUGAAAGAAAAGUAAAAGAAAAAAAAGGGGAGAAUAUUCAGUAAAAGGAAUUACGGAUGGACAGAGGUACAUCAAGAAUACGAAAAAAGAAGGAGAGUAAGCUAACCUCAGGGACGACGAAGUUGACGGCCAUUGCCUCAUAGAGAAGAAGAUCAAAAACUUGGGGGUUGUUGGAGGAAGUUCUUGCUAGAGUUCUUGGGGCUCUCGAACAGUGCCGCUGCUAGGAAAGCGGAGUUGGGGCUGUAGAAUGAUGCGAUGGGGAAGGAGUACCCGAGAAGGAAGUAUUUAUAGGACAAAACGGGCAAGGGCAAAUUUGACUUAUCUCUUCGCC
rnacentral:lncRNA from 1 species